rnacentral:rRNA from 1 species
AUUGAACGCUGGCGGCAGGCUUAACACAUGCAAGUCGAUCGGAGUGAUGGUGCUUGCACUAUCACUUAGCGGCGGACGGGUGCGUAAUGCUUAGGAAUCUGCCCAUUAGUGGGGGACAACAUCUCGAAAGGGAUGCUAAUACCGCAUACGUCCUACGGGUGAAAGCAGGGGAUCACUUGUGACCUUGCGCUAAUAGAUGAGCCUAAGUCGGAUUAGCUAGUUGGUGGGGUAAAGGCUUACCAAGGCGACGAUCUGUAGUGGGUCGGAGAGGAUGGUCCGCCACACUGGGACUGAGAAACGGCCCAGACUCCUACGGGAGGCAGCAGUGGGGAAUAUAGGACAAUGGGGGGAACCCUGAUCCAGCCAUGCCGCGUGUGUGAAGAAGGCCUUAUGGUUGUAAAGCACUUUAAGCGAGGAGGAGGCUGUUUUGGUUAAUACCCAAGAUGAGUGGACGUUACUCGCAGAAUAAGCACCGGCUAACUCUGUGCCAGCCGCCGCGGUAA